rnacentral:rRNA from 1 species
GGGGAGGGCGCGUAAAUGCAGUCGAAGCAGUAACAUACUGAGUGGCAAACGGGUGAGUAUAAUGUGGGAAUCUGCCUUUUGGUCUGGAAUAACACGGGGAAACUUGUGCUAAUACCGGAUAAGCCCUUACGGGGAAAGUUUUAAUGCCGAAAGAUGAGCCUGCACUUGAUUAGCUAGUUGGUAAGGUAAAAGCUUACCAAGGCAACGAUCAAUAGCUGUUCUUAGAGGAAGACCAGCCACAUUGGGACUGAGACACGGCCCAGACUCCUACGGGAGGCAGCAGUGGGGAAUCUUGCACAAUGGGGGAAACCCUGAUGCAGCGAUGCCGCGUGAGUGAAGAAGGCCCUUGGGUUGUAAAACUCUUUCGUCGGGGAAGAAAAUGACUGUACCCGAAUAAGAAGGUCCGGCUAACUUCGUGCCAGCAGCCGCGGUAAUACGAAGGGACCUAGCGUAGUUCGGAAUUACUGGGCUUAAAGAGCUCGUAGGUGGUUAAAAAAGUUGAUGGUGAAAUCCCAAGGCUCAACCUUGGAACUGCCAUCAAAACUUUUUAGCUAGAGUGUGAUAGAGGUAAGUGGAAUUUCUAGUGUAGAGGUGAAAUUCGUAGAUAUUAGAAAGAACACCAAAUGCGAAGGCAACUUACUGGGUCACUACUGACACUGAGGAGCGAAAGCAUGGGUAGCGAAGAGGAUUAGAUACCCUCGUAGUCCAUGCCGUAAACGAUGUGUGCUAGACGUUGGAAAUAUAUUUUUCAGUGUCGCAGCGAAAGCAUUAAGCACACCGCCUGGAGAGUACGACCGCAAGGUUAAAACUCAAAUGAAUUGACGGGGACCCGCACAAGCAGUGGAG